UGGGUAAGGAAGCAUUUUGUCAUGCCCA
rnacentral:piRNA from 1 species